rnacentral:rRNA from 1 species
CUUUACUAUAGCCUGGAAUUGUGUUCGGGCUUCGCUUACGCAGGAUAGGUGGGAGGCUAUGAAGUUCUGCUUGUGGGCAGAAUCGAGCCAACGGUGAGAUACCACUUUAGCGAGGCUAGAAUUCUAACCCUUGCCCAUGAUCUGGGAAGGAGACAGUUUCAGGGGGGUAGUUUGACUGGGGCGGUCGCCUCCUAAAAGGUAACUGAGGCGCGCAAAGGUCCCCUCAGUCUGGACGGAAAUCAGACAACGAGUGUAAAGGCAGAAGGGAGCUUGACUGCAAGACCUACAAGUCGAGCAGGGUGGAAACACGGUCUUAGUGAUCCGACGGUGCCGCAUGGAAGGGCCGUCGCUCAACGGAUAAAAGUUA